GGAGUUGUGGCUUGGUGGUAGAGCACUUGCCUAGCAUGUGUGAGGCUCUGGGUUCAAUUCUCAGCAGCACAG
rfam:Ictidomys tridecemlineatus contig007868, whole genome shotgun sequence.